UCGUAAAACUCUGUUGUUAGGGAAGAACAAGUGCCGUUCGAAUAGGGCGGCGCCUUGACGGUACCUAACCAGAAAGCCACGGCUAACUACGUGCCAGCAGCCGCGGUAAUACGUAGGUGGCAAGCGUUGUCCGGAAUUAUUGGGCGUAAAGCGCGCGCAGGUGGUUUCUUAAGUCUGAUGUGAAAGCCCACGGCUCAACCGUGGAGGGUCAUUGGAAACUGGGGAACUUGAGUGCAGAAGAGGAAAGUGGAAUUCCAAGUGUAGCGGUGAAAUGCGUAGAUAUUUGGAGGAACACCAGUGGCGAAGGCGACUUUCUGGUCUGUAACUGACACUGAGGCGCGAAAGCGUGGGGAGCAAACAGGAUUAGAUACCCUGGUAGUCCACGCCGUAAACGAUGAGUGCUAAGUGUUAGAGGGUUUCCGCCCUUUAGUGCUGCAGCUAACGCAUAAGCACUCCGCCUGGGAGACUCCGCC
rnacentral:rRNA from 2 species